AGCGAACGCUGGCGGCAGGCUUAACACAUGCAAGUCGAGCGCCCCGCAAGGGGAGCGGCAGACGGGUGAGUAACGCGUGGGAAUCUACCCAUCUCUACGGAAUAACGCAUGGAAACGUGUGCUAAUACCGUAUACGUCCUUCGGGAGAAAGAUUUAUCGGAGAUGGAUGAGCCGCGUUGGAUUAGCUAGUUGGUGGGGUAAGGGCCUACCAAGGCGACGAUCCAUAGCUGGUCUGAGAGGAUGAUCAGCCACACUGGGACUGAGACACGGCCCAGACUCCUACGGGAGGCAGCAGUGGGGAAUAUUGGACAAUGGGCGCAAGCCUGAUCCAGCCAUGCCGCGUGAGUGAUGAAGGCCCUAGGGUUGUAAAGCUCUUUCACCGGUGAAGAUAAUGACGGUAACCGGAGAAGAAGCCCCGGCUAACUUCGUGCCAGCCGCCGCCGUAACAC
rnacentral:rRNA from 1 species